GUUUCUGUAGUGUAGUGGUUAUCACGUUCGCCUAACACGCGAAAGGUCCCUGGUUCGAACCAGGCAGAAACA
rfam:Astyanax mexicanus chromosome 23, whole genome shotgun sequence.